UGGAGGGCAAGUCUGGUGCCAGCAGCCGCGGUAAUUCCAGCUCCAAUAGCGUAUAUUAAAGUUGUUGCGGUUAAAAAGCUCGUAGUUGAAUCUGUGUGUCACAGUGUCGGUUCACCGCUCGCGGUGCUUAACUGGCAUUAUGUGGUACGUCCUACCGGUGGGCUUAGCUCCUUGCGGGCGGUCCAACUAAUCUCCCAUCGCGGUGCUCUUCACUGAGUGUCGAGUUGGGCCGGUACAUUUACUUUGAACAAAUUAGAGUGCUCAAAGCAGGCUACCUUCGCCUGAAUAAUGUGUGCAUGGAAUAAUGAAAUAGGACCUCGGUUCUAUUUUGUUGGUUUUCGGAACCCCGAGGUAAUGAUUAAUAGGGACAGAUGGGGGCAUUCGUAUUGCGACGUUAGAGGUGAAAUUCUUGGAUCGUCGCAAGACGGACUAAAGCGAAAGCAUUUGCCAAAAAUGUUUUCAUUAAUCAAGAACGAAAGUUAGAGGUUCGAAGGCGAUCAGAUACCGCCCUAGUUCUAACCAUAAACGAUGCCAACUAGCGAUCCGCCGAAGUUCCUCCGAUGACUCGGCGGGCAGCUUCCGGGAAACCAAAGCUUUUGGGU
rnacentral:rRNA from 1 species